UUUCGCAAUGCCCGAAAGGGUGACGAAGCGACGCCGCGUGUGGGAAGAAGGCCUUCGGGUUGUAAACCACUGUCGGGAGUUAAGAAAGGUGUACGGGUAAAUAGUCCGUGCAUUUGACAAAAGCUCCGGAGGAAGCCACGGCUAACUCUGUGCCAGCAGCCGCGGUAAUACAGAGGUGGCAAGCGUUGUUCGGAAUUAUUGGGCGUAAAGGGCACGUAGGCGGCCCUGCAAGUCAGCUGUGAAAGCCUCCUGCUUAACGGGAGAAGUGCAGUUGAAACUACGGGGCUAGAGUGCGGAAGGGGAGAGUGGAACUUCUGGUGGGGCGGUGAAAUGCGUUGAUAUCGGGAGGAACGCCGGCGGCGAAAGCGGUGCACUGGUUGACUUCUGACACUCAUGUGCGAAAGCCAGGGGAGCAAACGGGAUUAGAUACCCCGGUAGUCCUGGCCGUAAACGAUGGGCACUAAGUAGAGGGGUUUU
rnacentral:rRNA from 1 species